rnacentral:rRNA from 1 species
AACGAACGCUGGCGGCAGGCUUAACACAUGCAAGUCGAACGCCCCGCAAGGGGAGUGGCAGACGGGUGAGUAACGCGUGGGAAUCUACCGUACCCUACGGAAUAACGCAUGGAAACGUGUGCUAAUACCGUAUACGCCCUACGGGGGAAAGAUUUAUCGGGGUAUGAUGAGCCUGCGUUGGAUUAGCUAGUUGGUGGGGU